AAGACUUGACUUGCUUGAGACUGUCCUAUUGUUCUAUGACAGGAAUCACUUAAGAUGCCUCACACCAGACCCAGCCCAGUGGAGUUCCAUAUUUCUCUUUGGAGGAACGAAGAGAUGCUGUUUGCGUGGAUAGGUCCUCCGAUAAGCUUCUUUGUAUAAGCUUUUUUUCUAUAGGACUGAAGAGACUCAGAAUUAGCCUCUUCCAAAUCUCAUUUUAUUAUGUGAAAUAAAAGAAGAUGGUGGAAGAU
rnacentral:lncRNA from 1 species